rnacentral:rRNA from 1 species
AAUCAACGCUGGCGGCGUGCCUAACACAUGCAAGUCGAACGAGAAAGUGGAGCAAUCCAUGAGUAAAGUGGCGACCGGGUGAGUAACACGUGACUAACCUACCUCCGAGUGGGGAAUAACUCCGGGAAACCGGGGCUAAUACCGCAUAACAUCGCGAGAUCAAAGCAGCAAUGCGCUUGGAGAGGGGGUCGCGGCUGAUUAGCUAGUUGGCGGGGUAAUGGCCCACCAAGGCGAAGAUCGGUAUCCGGCCUGAGAGGGCGCACGGACACACUGGAACUGAAACACGGUCCAGACUCCUACGGGAGGCAGCAGUGGGGAAUUUUGCGCAAUGGGGGAAACCCUGACGCAGCAACGCCGCGUGGAGGAUGAAGCCCUUUGGGGCGUAAACUCCUUUCGACCAAGACGAUAAUGACGGUACUGGUGGAAGAAGCACCGGCUAACUCUGUGCCAGCAGCCGCAGUAAG